rnacentral:lncRNA from 10 species
CAAAGUGAAGUUAAAUUGCCGGGACCUGGAGUUUGUCACCCUGAGUUCAGAUUCUGGCUUUGUCACAAGUCGCCUAACAUUUCUAAACUUCAGUUUCCUUUUCUGUAGAAAAUGAACAAUAAAAACGACUUCAGCCGUGAUUGUACUCAAGUAUGGAGCAGUAAAGAAAAGCAAGGUCAAGUAUGGAAAGCCAAGCAUAUAUUCUAACCAGACCCUCUCAGCCAAAGAAGAUUCCAUUCCCAGCUGGAAAUGCUGUCUCGGAGCAGGAAUGAAGAGCCUCUCUCAUUGGAAUUGCCCAUGAGGACAAAUGCACCCCCCACUUCCGCUAUCUGUAGAAUCUACAGUGCUCUUUGCACCUCUGUUAUGCCCAGGGGAGGCCCAUUUCCCUGAGGAGGAGAAGAGACUUCAAACUGCAAAAGCCUGGAUCACAGCUGCUUUGAGAGGUGAAUAUAUACAUAACUUCCCAUCACUAAGCAAAUGAGCAAUCUGCUUCUGGUCCUGGUCUUUCUCAGCUCCUGCUCCAACAGACUAUGUCCUGCAGCGACACUAGAAAAACCACAACAGGUGGAGCAGGAUUCUUGGGGAAACCCAACUGCAAAAUGCAUGAGCUGCAUUGUUCAUCUCAGGUGUUGUCAACUGCCCCAGGGUGGAAUACACACAACCCCCAUCUGGGUAGAGCAGAAAGCACACAAGGGUCUUUGGAAGCAGUUGGUUGCUAGAGGCCGGAUAAAGCAUUGUUCUGGAGUGCACUGUCUCCUCCAGGCCAAUGAGAAGCAGUUUUUACACAUGCCAGUAGCUUGGGGUUGGGUCUCAGAGGCCAACAACGAAUAAGCCUUUACCUCCAUGAUGUCAUUGCUUCCAAUGUGGAAUCUCAUUGGCUGAAGGGCUUGUCACUCACUCACCAAUGCUUUACAGGGAUGGAAUUCUGUGGAGUCCAAGGUUUUCUCACAUAAUGGGAGGCUCCCUUAAUCCCUGGUUGAAUUUGGCUGCUGUUUUUCUCUCCUACAGCUCAGUUCUGAAUUAUACACACAGCUUGUGGGUAUCUUGGGGUUUUGUGCAUUUUACUUUUACCAGCAUAUAAAAGCCCCUCAAUUAGUAGUCUUGCCAAAACAGUAAAUAUUUUCUGGACAUUAAUGCUGCAUAACUUUCAGAGAUUCCUGCUGUUGUUUUUAUUACCCCCAUUUUGUCCGUGAGAAAGGACAGCCUGGAGCAGAAAAACUUCCCAGUCGCAUUGAUUCUAGGGUGAGAACUGUGAGCCUCAGGAUACAGAUUUUAAAAGCAGAAAGCAAAAAAAGGAGGCACACAGGUCUAAGCUGUGGCUCUUCCAGUAUUUUCUGGGCUGCUGAUCCAACGACUCCCACUUCACGUUGUGCAUUAACUCUGCGG